rnacentral:rRNA from 1 species
UACAGAGGUCUCAAGCGUUGUUCGGAUUCAUUGGGCGUAAAGGGUGCGUAGGCGGCGCGGUAAGUUGGGUGUGAAAUCUUGGAGCUUAACUCCGAAACUGCAUUCGAUACUGCCGUGCUUGAGGACUGGAGAGGAGACUGGAAUUUACGGUGUAGCGGUGAAAUGCGUAGAUAUCGUAAGGAAGACCAGUGGCGAAGGCGGGUCUCUGGACAGUUCCUGACGCUGAGGCACGAAGGUCGGGGGAGCAAACGGG